UAGGGAAUCUUCGGCAAUGGGGGGAACCCUGACCGAGCAACGCCGCGUGAGUGAAGAAGGUUUUCGGAUCGUAAAGCUCUGUUGUUAAGGAAGAACGAGUGUGAGAAUGGAAAGUUCAUACUGUGACGGUACUUAACCAGAAAGGGACGGCUAACUACGUGCCAGCAGCCGCGGUAAUACGUAGGUCCCGAGCGUUGUCCGGAUUUAUUGGGCGUAAAGCGAGCGCAGGCGGUUAGAUAAGUCUGAAGUUAAAGGCAGUGGCUCAACCAUUGUAGGCUUUGGAAACUGUUUAACUUGAGUGCAGAAGGGGAGAGUGGAAUUCCAUGUGUAGCGGUGAAAUUCGUAGAUAUAUGGAGGAACACCGGUGGCGAAAGCGGCUCUCUGGUCUGUAACUGACGCUGAGGCUCGAAAGCGUGGGGAGCGAACAGG
rnacentral:rRNA from 1 species